CAGUAGCCGCGGUAAUACGAAGGGUGCAAGCGUUAAUCGGAAUUACUGGGCGUAAAGCGCACGUAGGCGGCUUGGUAAGUUAGAGGUGAAAGCCUGGAGCUCAACUCCAGAAUUGCCUUUAAGACUGCCGAGCUAGCAGGUGAGAGAGGUAAGUGGAAUUCCGAGUGUAGAGGUGAAAUUCGUAGAUAUUCGGAAGAACACCAGUGGCGAAGGCGGCUUACUGGCUCAUACUGGACGCUGAGGUGCGAAGCGUGGGGAGCAAACAGGAUUAGAUACCCCAGUAGUCCCUGUCUCUUAUACA
rnacentral:rRNA from 1 species